rnacentral:rRNA from 1 species
GACAGAGGCCCCGAGCGUUAGGCGGAAUCACUGGGCUUAAAGCGUGUGUAGGCGGAUCGUUAAGUGUCUUGUGAAAUCCCACGGCUCACCCGUGGAACCGCUGGGCAUACUGGCGAUCUCGGGCCAUUCAGGGGCGACUGGAACAAGCGGUGGAGCGGUGAAAUGCGUAGAUAUCGCUUGGAACGCCGAAGGUGAAAACAGGUCGCUGGGGAUGUGCCGACGCUGAGACACGAAAGCCAGGGGAGCAAACGGG